ensembl:lncRNA
AUGAAUAUAAGCGGUAGGAGAAGAGACUGGAGAUGUGAACUGUCCCUCUGGAACGGGCUGCCAUUAAGUUUACUAAAAAUGUCUGAUGGUUUCACCCAGACAGUUAGGAGAGCUGUGUCUAAACGGGAUCCAGAUCUCUGGGCAGUCUCAGAGCGGAUGGCGAGGCACUGAGUGCAAGAGACCCUUAGUCCCUCUGGAGUGGCUUUGAGUGAGAGAGCCAUUUUGGGCGGGGGUGGGGAUAAGGAGGAACUCUCAUCAUCCGAUGUCCUUCUGUUAACAGUUUGAAAAGGAUAACUUAAGCAGAAGGACUCCACAAAACCUUUUGUGAAUGGUUGGAGGUUGUUUUGUUUCAUCUCUGGAUUGCACUAAACAACAGUAACAAAUGAACACAGCUAGGUACUUGUAGCAACUAUUCUGUCUCUAUAACUUCUAUUCUGUCUCUUUCUUAAAAGAAUGUUUCUUGUUCAAUACAAUUUCAGUUGAUAGCAUUGUUACAUAAUGUCGAAUGAAUGCCACAUUGCUUUCAUAAAAUAGUUAAUAUAAUACAAAAAAAUUAUGAAGUAACUUAAUAUUGUCAUAAUAUUGAGACAUAAUAUUGCCACCAAUGAAAACAGCUCUGCUUUUUUGUUGAUUCAGUUCGACUGAAUGAAUGAUUCAAUGACUCACCCAUUAUUACUGUGGCUGCAACCUAAAUCGUAUACUUUCCUACUAUAUAGUAGGUGAAAGUCAGUAUGCAAAAAGAGUAAUUUUCAAAUUCAUAUUCAUAAAUAAAAUAGUAGGUGAAAAGUACA